GCUAGCCUCCAGUACGGACGACGCCUCACUCGCCGCGGCGCAGGCGGUGCCCGCCGGGAUAGGACAAUCAACACAGUGGAGGCGAGAAGUCUGGCCUUGCGCCGGCCGGGGAGCUUUUCGCCAAGGCUCCUGUGGGAUGGGAUAGCUUGUUCUCUGGGCUGCAGGAACCAAAACAUUAGACCACCCUUUCUGUGACCUUGGGCAUGCCGCCCUCGGUUCCGAGCCGCAAGUCUUUCUUUCGGGGAAAAUGAAAAGGGGUCAAGAUUUGGACCAGAUGACACCCAAUGUCCCAUUCAACGGUCGCAUUCUGUCAUCCACAGGAAUUAGUCCUGUAUCCGAAACAUUCUCUGGUAGUCAAAAGCUGUGAGCAAAUAAUAAGAAAAAAUGUGCAAAACGUUUUUUAGUACAGUUAGCAAAUAGUGUACUCAGUUGUUGAAGGAAAUGGGAUGAAGCCUAUCAGAUUUCAACAAACUUAUUUACCUCUUGAGAAAGCUGCUCUCUUUUCGGUUGUCCUUCUGUGUCUCUCUUUCAAAGAUCAAGUCUCACUGCGAUGCUGAUAUGUUUUUAACACUUCUCCAGCAUUUCUUAACCUAACAGCAGGUUUCAGGCACAGGCCUGCAGCAAGCAGCCAUAUCCAACUAAAAUUCCACUACUAUAUGUUUUUAUUUGCAUUACAUUUAUCAGGGAGCUUUCUAUUUAUGGCAAGGAAACUGAUUUUAAAUUUAAAUCAGUGAUAUACAUCAAGAGCUAGAUUUUGCAUUUUUAAGUGAAAAAGUAAGCUAUCAAAUAGAACAGGUGGAAUUUGGAUAUGGUGGGGCGGAGGGGUAGGCAGAGCAGGGGAGAGGAACAUCGUGAUAGUGGUACUCAAAUUACUAAGUUUUAGAAAACACUAUCACGGGGCCUUUCAGGAGCCUGGAGACAGAUGGAGGGGAAGACAGAAGAGAGAUUAAGGAGAAGAAUGUAUAAGCACAAGAUGUGAAGGAGGCCACACUUAAAAAAAAACUUGAAAUGGGGUUUCAUUUGGAAGGACACUGACUAAGGAAAAACAGAGAAAAGGAUGAAACCCAAGCCAACUCUGCAACUCUAUUAAAAACACCAAGACUUCAAUAGUCAGCUGACUUACCAGUCCUCUAACAGGAACCUGGCAUGGUGGGCACAGUCGGGCACUGCAGGCGGCUUGCCUCCAGCAGAAGGAAUACUGCUACUCAGCUCUAGAUGAUUGCCCUGAAGAAAUUCAUGCCCACUGAAUCUCCUUAAAGGGAGGCAGUGCAUUCUUCAUGGCUAGAGCUUCAGCAGCUAUCUAGAACCAUAUGGUGGAAGCCACUUACUGAGAACUGUGAAACAAGAGCCUGGGUCCCUGACAUAUGAAGCCACCAUACCUACCUUAAAGUGUCUUUCACUUGAGGGAAAAAUACAUCUUUCUUAGGUAGGAAAAGAUGACAUACUCAAAACCUUAAUGAAGUCAUUAUAUACAGAGAUGUGGGCAGGGUUAAAGGAACCAAUUUGGGAGUAGUAGCUACAAGAAACAAUUUCAGCACCUAGGUCUGAAGAGGUAUAAGGAGGGAGCUGUUGAUCUCUGCCACUAAGUACUAUAUCUCUGACAUCAUUUACAUGUCUGGGCUUCACAACUAAGCCUCUUGAGGGCAGGAUCUCUACUGGAUUCAGAGAUUUGAAUUUUAAUGUCCCAGAAAUAUAAAGAAGAUGGCAUUAAAAUGUCCUAUAUGUUGGCAGUCCUACCCUGAAGACUUUUUUUGCUUAUCUUUUGUUCUGAGCUACAGUCUUCGCAGAGACUAAAUUAGUGACUGGACAACAGAAGAAAAUAGACCAUCCUGGCUAAAAUGGUGAAACCCCAUCUCUACUAAAAACACAAAAAAUUAGCUGGGCAUGUUAGCGGGUGCCUGUAGUCCCAGCUACUCGGGAGGCUGAGGCAAGAAAAUGGCGUGAACCUGGGAGGCGGAGCUUGCAGUGAGCUGAGAUCGCGCCACUGCACUCCAGCAUGGGGGAUAGAGCGAGACUCCGUCU
rnacentral:lncRNA from 1 species